rnacentral:rRNA from 1 species
GGGUAACCUGCCCAAGAGAUCGGGAUAACACCUGGAAACAGAUGCUAAUACCGGAUAACAANAGAUGAUGCCUAUCAACUGUUUAAAAGAUGGUUCUGCUAUCACUCUUUGGAUGGACCUGCGGUGCAUUAGCUAGUUGGUAGGGUAACGGCCUACCAAGGCGAUGAUGCAUAGCCGAGUUGAGAGACUGAUCGGCCACAUUGGGACUGAGACACGGCCCAAACUCCUACGGGAGGCAGCAGGG